GUUGUUGUUGACUUUCGUAACAACAAAUUCGUCAAACUUGUGAAGAGUUAGUAAAACUAUAUAGAAAAUCUACACCAACCAAGCAAUUUUCUACAGACAACCAAGUAUGUAAAAACUAGAACCAAAGGGUGACUAAACAAAUAGCCAACGUGACGUGAUUGUGCAGUGAACCUGUACUGUACGAAUUCAUGGUGAGAUGGCCGUAAACCCUACUAGAGAGCAAAGGGGCGUAGAUCUCGGUUGGCUGCGGUGACGAUCUUGUAGCUCUCACGACGAUCCUCGUUGAGUCUCUUCGGUUCCUUGGUUGGCCAUCCUAGAUACAUAAAAUACAAAAAAAAACACAGUUAUUACACUUUAAUUUAUCAAUGAUACCUGUUUGGCGACGCUCGCUAGUUUCUCCCACGAUGCUCUUGUAGCUCCCACGACGAUCCUCGUUGAGCCUCUUCGGUUCCUUGGCUGGCCAAUCUAAAUACACCAAAUACAUCAAAUACAAAAA